GGAUGUGAGGGCGAUCUGGCUGCAACAUCUGUCACCCCAUCGAUCACCAGGGUUGAUUCGGCUGAUCUGACUGGCUAGGCAGGUGUCCCCUUCCUUCCUCACCGCUCCAUGUGUGUCCCUCCUGAAGCUGUGCACUCUGUCGAAGAGGACAACCUUCACUGCUAGAGAAGGACCUGUCUUUGGUCAAGGGUAUACAAGUAGCUGUGAUUCUCUGCUAGAACCUCCAAACAAGCACUCAAGAUCAUAUCAUCAGCAAAUAGUUUGACGUCCUCUUUUCUGAUUUGGAUACCCUUUAUUUUUUUUC
rnacentral:snRNA from 1 species